rnacentral:rRNA from 1 species
UACGAAGGGGGCUAGCGUUGCUCGGAAUCACUGGGCGUAAAGGGUGCGUAGGCGGGUCUUUAAGUCAGGGGUGAAAUCCUGGAGCUCAACUCCAGAACUGCCUUUGAUACUGAAGAUCUUGAGUCCGGGAGAGGUGAGUGGAACUGCGAGUGUAGAGGUGAAAUUCGUAGAUAUUCGCAAGAACACCAGUGGCGAAGGCAGCCCCCUGGGCCAACACUGACGCUCAGGCACGAAAGCGUGGGGAGCAAACAGG